AUACCAUGGCAGAAUGAGAUGAUUGAGAUGGAUUGUUUUAAGGAACUAAAUGUGUUCAAUGAAGAUGGGGACCCCCCUCCUGACCUGAUUGAAGAACUUCCCCCUCCCCCGCCCCGGGGUGGGCUUUUUAGCAGGCUCUUCAGAAGGCAGAAUCGCGAGGCUCACUGACGUUGGGGAAAUGGUGGUGCUGUCGGCUUCCAUUGCUGCGAUUAAGAUCCUCCAAAAAGUAAAUUUUAAAAACAAACACGUGGACUGAACUUGCUAACUAUUGUGUCAGUGAACAGAGGCAAACCACCAUGUUUUUAUAUUACGUACAAACUCAGGCUGGGACGUGGAGAUAGAGAGAAGAAAAAAAAAACGCUGUAGAAAAAAAAAAUUGAUACAGUGACCGGAUCAUUUUUUCUUUCGUCUCAACUUUCAAAUCAAAAAUUGUCGACGGACAUCAGGAGGUGUGGACAAUUUUUGGAGGACUGAAAUUUUGCUCGGACUUGCCAGUAUUGUCUCAUUAAGAUGAAGAAAAUAUCUUACCCGUAUAUCUUUUGUAAUAGUGUCAUAGGGCGAUUGAUAGGUGAAAGUACAAAUGUGUGUUUGUAUAAGAGAAUGAUUCAUAUUGGUUGAAUUUUUCUAUAUAUUAGAAUCACUUUUAAAUAUUUUUAAUUAUUGAUAGAGAUUAUUCUAUGUUCAUGUUGUGCCCUGCCCCCAAAUUAUGUUUAUUGUAUGUGUGUGUGAUGAUUAUAUACUUCAAAAAGUGUUAAACGUUUUACAUAGGAGGGACCCCCCUCCCCCUCACACAUUCACCAUCCACCAUACUAAAGCCUUUGUUAUUGAUGCCUCUGCCACAGUUACCAUUAAUUUCAGCUUCCUAGAAAUAUAAAUUUGGUUCUGAAUCUUCUAAAGGAAUUUAAAGUCUGUGGACAAGUUUUUUUUCUUUCAUGAAAUGAUUCCAAUGUUUAAGUGUAUUAUCUUUUUUCCCCCUGCAAAUUGGUUGAGAUUUAUCUUCAAGUUUAUUUUUUAAAUCAUGGUAUGAAAAGAUUUCUAUAGCAAGGGUAUAAUUUUGACGUGGAGUAGAAGAGAAAAGGCAAGGUGAAGAAAAAAAAAAUCAUUUUUUCUACAAGGGAUUCCAUUUACAGUGUAUUUAUGAGUCCUUUUUUUGUCAAAAAAAUUACUUACAUGAAAGUAGUGCUAAAAUACUUAUUUCUAGAAUGGUUUAUAGUUAAAGGUAGACUAAUGUGGCAUGUUUAGUUAGGAACAUUCGCAGGCUACAUCAGCAGGAUCAAUUUGCCAUUGGAUUUGUAUUCAAAUUGUUAGUGCUGCAUCAGAGCAAGGGGAGAGUUGUUUUUUGGGAGAAAUUUGUGCAACAUUAACUGAAAUACAUCAUGGAUCACACUUGAAUUAAACAUUUUAUAACAAUUUUAUAUAAAGCCAUUUGGAAUUGAUUUCAUAUGAGAAUUUACAAGUAUAAGAAAAAAAUUAAAUUUGACACCAAUUUUAAGUAAAAUACACUAUUUUCAACAGAUUUCAUGAAAAUUUGCACUUUUUUCCCCUUGGAAACAUUAUUUUGCAAUCAGAUUAAAAAGGACUUUUCAAACCUGACAAUGCUCUAGCUUUAAGUAGUCAUAAUGAAGUUUAGUUUGUAAAGAAUCUCAAGUGGGAAUCUCCAGUUUUAAUUAUAGAAAUGACAUCACUUCCUGUCAGGAAACUGGGAAUUAGUAAAUCCCCAUGAAGAGCAUUUUGGAGCUUUGAAUUCCGAUUUAGUGCAUGAUAUUUUGGAAUUUUUAUAAAUAUCAAGGCUGAAAAUGUAUGAAAGAUUUCCUUUUAUUCCUUACAAAGAUUGCCUUUGAUUUUCAAUUCAUGAUGAUUUGGCAUUUUAUUCAUUGAAUUUCUGCAUAAAUUGUUUUAAAUUGAUGGUUUAAUUUAAAAGAUAUUUUUUAUAGCAAAAUGUUUGUAUAUACAUAAACACGUUUGUGUCAUAUCAAAUGCAUUUCAAGAAUUUAAAGACAAACCAUGAAAAUACAAAACUUCAUAGAACUAGGCUGCUGGUUUCAGUCUUGUAUUUUUUAAUUGUUGAAUGAAAAAAAUAUUUAUUGUAUGGUACUUGUAACCGAAUCCAGUACAAGUUUUCUACUUGAUUCUUUGUACAGAUGACAUUGUAUUUCAAUAUUAUUUGAAGAAAAAAAAUGCACAGUUUUUGAAAGUUCAUUUGCCAGCACACUGAAACAAACCUUUUUUGUGGGUAUAUUCUUUGUGUCAUUUUUGAUUUUUUUUUUCAGCGGUUUUAUUAAGUGGGUAUUUAAUUGAUAUUCCUUUGCGCGCUAAACCCUUUUUUUCCUUUUUAAUAUGUACAAUGUAUUAAACGUUUUCUUUGCUUGGCUUCUAGCAUUCGACACCCUUUCCUUUCCAAGGCUUUUGCACGUUUUCUUUCAUGCAAAAUAUAUACUGGAAAAAAGUUGCUCAAUAUUUAAGUGAUUUCAGUAUUUGUAGGUAAGGACAUUUCUCAGAAUUCUUUUGAGAGAUGAAUGCCAAAGCAAUAUCUACACAAAAUACACGUAGUAAAAUCAUUAUAGUACUUGGGGUGUCUCAGUCCCUGUACCAUCAUGACUCAGAAGCACUUUUUGCAGAAUUUUUUAAGCACAGUGGACAAAACAUCAAGAUGGAAAGACAUUUCCACAGUAUUGGCACGAUUGAACAAUUAAGAUGUGUACUAACACUAUUUAUUUUAAGAAGGACUAUAAGGUUCCAAAUGUCUUGUUAGCAAGGCAAACAUCGGUUGUGCAAUGUAUCUUAAUAUUUUUAUUCUGUGUGCUUAUGAACAUUUGGAAAAUGUCAAAUAUUGAGUUUGAUAAAAAUGCUUCCUGAGUAUUUUAACCAAUAUUUGAUGCAUGUUUCACUUCUGUAUUUGUAAGCUUGAAGUAUAUAUUUUUUUGUUGAGUUAAAAAAGAGAAAAUUCAUCUGUAUUAUAGCUAGGUUUAAGAUGUUACAAUACAGCAUUCAUAAACAUAUCUGCCUCAGAUGUUUUAACUGAUAAAUUCUUAUGUUUAAAAUUGAAUAUAGUUUAAUCUGAUUUUUUU